rnacentral:rRNA from 1 species
ACGGGAGGCAGCAGUGAGGAAUAUUGGUCAAUGGACGGAAGUCUGAACCAGCCAAGUCGCGUGCGGGAGGAAGGCCCUACGGGUCGUAAACCGCUUUUGUACGGGGAUAAAGUCACCCACGUGUGGGUGUUUGUAGGUACCGUAAGAAUAAGGAUCGGCUAACUCCGUGCCAGCAGCCGCGGUAAUACGGAGGAUCCGAGCGUUAUCCGGAUUUAUUGGGUUUAAAGGGAGCGUAGGCGGGUCUUUAAGUCAGUGGUCAAAGCGUGUGGCUCAACCAUACCACGCCAUUGAUACUGGAGACCUUGAGUGCACAUAAGGAUGGUGGAAUUCGUCGUGUAGCGGUGAAAUGCUUAGAUAUGACGAAGAACUCCGAUUGCGAAGGCAGCUGUCCGGGGUGUAACUGACGCUAAUGCUCGAAAGUGCGGGUAUCAAACAGGAUUAGAUACCCUGGUA